rnacentral:miRNA from 14 species
GGACUGUAGAGAUAGCUCAGUGAAUCAAGUGCUUGUGGGCAAGCAUGAGGAUGUGAGUUCGAUCCCCAGCACUCGUGUAAA